UAAAUCUAUGGUAACUCCUUGUUGGAAACCUUGAUUCGUACGAAAUUUAUUUCAUCAGAAACUAGAUUGAAAUAUCUUUCCAAUGAUAUAUUUUCUGAGUAAAAUUGGAGCACGAUUGAUAGUUUGAUUCAUUUGUUCAAUGUGCCUCUUGUAUUCUGCCAGAAAUCGAGCUUUGGUCGAUUUCUCAUAUUCUGGUUUCAUUCCUUUGGAAAUUGAUAUCCUUUGGCUUUCUUAUUCAAUUGAGCUUUAUAUUACUGCUUUGAAUUCUUGUAUGCUCUUGUCCUUAAAGUUAUUUGCAUUCUUGAAAACUAUCGUGUAACGUUUAUGCUAUAUAGUAUUGACUCAUAUAGGCACAUGUAUAUCCCAUUGUUCCGCAUUUGCUUUCGAUAUGUGCCUAUUCCAGUUUCAUUCAUUUGGACAUUGAAUUCAUCUAACCUUCUUAUUUGAAUUGAGUUAUAUGCUCUUGCUUGGAAU
rnacentral:lncRNA from 1 species